CAGCAGCCGCGGUAAUACGUAGGGUGCAAGCGUUAAUCGGAAUUACUGGGCGUAAAGCGUGCGCAGGCGGUUUGUAAGUCAGAGGUGAAAGCCCGGGGCUCAACCCCGGAGGUGCCUUUAAGACUGCCGAGCUAGCAGGUGAGAGAGGUAAGUGGAAUUCCGAGUGUAGAGGUGAAAUUCGUAGAUAUUCGGAAGAACACCAGUGGCGAAGGCGGCUUACUGGCUCAUACUGGACGCUGAGGUGCGAAAGCGUGGGGAGCGAACAGGAUUAGAUACCCCCGUAGUCCCUGUCUCUUAUACA
rnacentral:rRNA from 1 species